UUCAUUUUGGUCUAAAUUUUCCGUGAGGAUGAGGUGAUAAUUUUUCUAUUUCCCUGUUUCUGUUGGCUUUAGUUGUUCUUUGCAUUACCUGUGGAUGAAGAACACGUCAUUACACGUCCAUCCUUCAGUAUUCAGAAGAUCAACAGGAUUAGGGGCCCGCCAAGUCAAUCAGGUGAACGGCAGAGUGCUGUCGGUUCUUGGUCACCCAAUUUACCGACUACCGUACAAUUGGCGACGGAACUGAAAACUUUACUAAUUCAAGAAGAGUCAGUUCACAAUUCAAUUUAUAUGAAGCCCAUUGGUGUAUGCAACAUUCUACAAACCACAGAGAUAUUGUCAAAAAAAUCUUUUUUUCAACAAUAAACAUUUAAAAUAUAGAAUAAAGGUUUUGGCUGAUUUACUGUGAAUACAUGUAUGUGCAAUUUAUAAAUUUUAUUAUGAAAAAGGGGGUAAGAAAGAGAGAAGAUGGAGAGAGUUGAAUGUAUCCGUGCUUGCAGGUUAUCGCUCCGGGUUAAGUAUCCCUGGUUUUAUAUUAUUGUCUUAAGAUAUUUUAUCAUCCGGACGCUAUGUUUAUAGCGAGGUCGUGUGGGUCACAUUUUCUGGCGGCUAGAAAUGAUAGCGGCGGUAAGAGUCAGUGACAGCAGGCUCGCCUUUCAAAGGACCAGGGAACAUUACUCGCAUAGUUCUCUCCGUCUACUAUAGCCCUACAAACACCUGAGUCUAGAGUCUGUGCCACGUUGUUUUUUCAGCAUAACAGCUGAAAACUAUAAUGUCCCAUCCCACAAGCAAGGUUAAUUCCCAAAUAUCCAGGGAAUUAGUGAAACCUACGCCAAUCGGUUUGUCAAAGUCGGCGAGCAGACGGUUCCAACGAGACAAAAAGGGUCGCACUAAUGAAAGGAAGUCAAGGGGGAGGAUCGUGUAUAAUUUGUAAUGAAAAUUAGUUCGUUUUAUUUAAUUGAAAGCAGAGGAAUAUAAUAAAUAGAUAAAACAAAUCCGGGGAGAGGCAAUCCACAUAAAAAUCCGACAUCAAGAAAACACAGGAACCUCGCCAUGUCUUUGAAACCUGUUAGACAGAGGAAUUCAAAGAAGCAGGAACCAUUCAACUCGACGCACAAAAGGACGAAAAAAGUCGAAUUAUUCAAUGUGCGUAUACUGUUAUUGUUUGCCACACAUUUUCCCUGGUCAUAAUUUUAGAAAGAAAAAAAAGGUUCGGCUUGGGUUUUUUUUUUUGCAAAGAAUUGACCACAAAAAUACUACAGUCCACGUUUAGUUAUUCUCGUUACUUAGAAAUCAAGCGAUGAAAUUUCUAUAAAGAUAAAAGAAAUGUUAAAAAUAUCAAAUAGUUCCCUCAAGUAGAGUGGUGAACUUCUUUUAAGGACUACCUGCCACUUUAAAACGUAGUCGACCGAACUGUUCAAGCUAAAAGAAAGGAGAAAGGCUUGCGGCGAUUUUGACAUCUUCUGAGGUUUUUGCCUCGAGUAACAUUCGAUCAACUCUUGAUAAAGUUUUCAAAGACUGGACACAUCCUCGGGUCUUUUCACGGCAAAAAUGUCAAAUAAUGCCCUAUUGUUUACCCACAAAGGGGUAUUUGCUAAAGUGUCCAAGCUUGUUUGGGACCCCGACAGCGUAAUCCAGGGUUCAAGUGACUUGGAAUUUAUCACGUGGUUGGUACAUAGUGGGGAUGAUCGUACUAUGGCGAACAUCACAACAAAAGCCGGGGGUUUACAGGACAAUAGAAAAUUUUUAAAAACUGUUAUUAACAUGUACGCAAGAUAAUAAUGUCUGGUUUGAAUGCUUUUGGCAAGGUUGAAUUUUGAUACACAUACACAACUAUCAAAGAACUAUUUUCUUUAGACACCCAUCAAAUUUAGAACUCGAAUUUUCUGUUC